GUCUGGUCUUUGCGGGAGCAAACCGGUUGUAAGGUACACCUGGCGCUUGCCUCCAGCUCGUGGCGUCUCUGCGUGCAGCCCCUGCGAGCUGGGCAGGGGCCUCAGAAUCCCUGUCUGUGUCCGACGGAGUGGUGUGCUGGAGCCUGAACUCCCGCAGCAGCUUCCAGAAACAUCGAGCAACACGCUGGGCAGUGCCGUGAUCACAUGGGCGGUGGCUACCUGAGCCACAGAGACGGGCCAGCCCUGCAAGCCAGGGCUCUUCCCCUUCGACAAGGACGGACAUUAUGUGAUAAGUUAUUGAGAUAACUCCGUUGGAGGACUGGCCUCUUGCUGCCUGUUCCCACUGCCCUCGUCUGCUGUGGUGUGACUGUGUCAGGUCAUUCCCUCUGGUCUCCUGGUUUCUGGUCUUCCAUGAUCCUGCCAGACAGGGCUUGUUCUCUGCUUUCUGGGAGUUCACAGUCUGUCUGAUGGAAGGGCUGCACAUCACAUACAAAGCCAGCAGUCCAGCCAGUGCCUCCAGCAAGUAGACUUCUGGCAGAUUGGCCCAAACGUAA